rnacentral:tRNA from 1 species
GCGGAGGUGGCGGAAUGGCAGACGCGCAUGCUUCAGGUGCAUGUAUCUUUAUGGUGUGAGGGUUCAAAUCCCUUUCUCCGCA